rnacentral:rRNA from 1 species
UCGAGGAUCUUCGGCAAUGAGCGCAAGCUUGACCGAGCGACGCCGCGUGUGCGAAGAAGGCCUUCGGGUUGUAAAGCACUGUCGAGGGGGAGGAAAGCCCGAAAGGGUCUGACCUAUCCCUGGAGGAAGCACGGGCUAAGUUCGUGCCAGCAGCCGCGGUAAGACGAACCGUGCGAACGUUGUUCGGAAUCACUGGGCUUAAAGGGCGCGUAGGCGGGUCAGCAAGUCCGGGGUGAAAUCUUUCGGCUCAACCGGAAAAGUGCCUUGGAUACUGCUGGUCUCGAGGGAGGUAGGGGUCUGUGGAACUUCUGGUGGAGCGGUGAAAUGCGUUGAUAUCAGAAGGAACGCCGGUGGCGAAAGCGACGGACUGGAUCUCUUCUGACGCUGAGGCGCGAAAGCUAGGGGAGCAAACGGG